rnacentral:rRNA from 1 species
GACGUAGGGCGCGAGCGUUGUCCGGAUUUAUUGGGCGUAAAGAGCUCGUAGGCGGCUUGCCGCGUCGUCCGUGAAAACCCACAGCUCAACUGUGGGCUUGCGGUCGAUACGGGCAGGCUAGAGUUCGGUAGGGGAGACUGGAAUUCCUGGUGUAGCGGUGAAAUGCGCAGAUAUCAGGAGGAACACCGGUGGCGAAGGCGGGUCUCUGGGCCGAUACUGACGCUGAGGAGCGAAAGCGUGGGGAGCGAACAGG